AUAUUAAAUUUAAAAUACUUAUAAAAGUAAAAUAAAUAAAAUAAAAUAAAUUAAAGGUGUGUAUGUUUUUCUCUAUUAAAAAUAAUAAUAAAAAGAGAAAAGAGAUAUUAAAAUAUAUAAAAAUCAAAAAUAAGAUAUAUGAAAAUAUUUAUAGUAGUGAAUUUUUUAAAAUAAAAAAAUAUUAAAACACGACCUCAGGUUAGGUGAGACUACCCGCUGAAUUUAAGCAUAUUAAUAAGCGAAGUU
rnacentral:rRNA from 1 species